AACCUGGUUGAUCCUGCCAGUAGUCAUAUGCUUGCUUCAAGGAUUAAGCCAUGCAAGUGUCGAGUAAGUAUCUGCACCGUUGAUCUGCGUACAGCUCAUUAUAACAGUCGUAACCUUCCUGGAUCAGUGACUCAGUCAUCGAGUGGAUAACUCCAGUAACUCUGAAGCUAAUACAUGGACGACGAUUCCGUUGACACCAAAGGAAGAGGAGUAAAAUCCAAUUCCUGACAAUGGAAGCUUUUGAUCGAGACAGAAACCAGUCAAUAAGAUUGAACAACCUCGUGGCAUUAGAUCAUUCUGUGCAAGGAAUUUACGCUUGCGUAAGCCGUGUUCAGUUGAACGACUGACCUAUCAGUUUGUUUGCAGUGUCUUGGACUGCAGAGGCGUUGACGGGUAACGGAGAAUCAGGGUUCGAUUCCGGAGAGGGAGCCUGAGAAACGGCUGCCAUGUCUAAGGACAGCAGCAGGCGCGUAAAUUGCCCAAUACUAGCAUGAGCGAGGCAGCGACGAGAAGUAUUUACCUUGUGCUCUCUACGAUCACGAGGAUAGAAAUGGAUGAUAUGCAAAGCCAUCACUGAGGAUCAAUUGGAGGGCAAGUCUGGUGCCAGCAGCCGCGGUAAUUCCAGCUCCAAUGGCGUAUACUAAUGCUGUUGCUGUUAAAAAGCUCGUAGUUCGACAAGGACUGAGACUGGCUCGAAGUCCAUGCGCGCAACUUGUUGCCGUGUGCGAUCAGAGCCAAUUGGUCUUAGUCCUUCUAUUGACGGUGUUGUCUGGAUCAAGUGCUCUUCACUGGGUAUGCGAUCACCUCCGCAGCGACCAUCUGCACAAGGACAAACCGUUGUGGUACUGUGAACAAAACAGCGUGCUUCAAGCGGGCGUUCUCAAUGCCUGAAUGACCAAGCAUGGGAUACCAGGAAGCGACCAAUCGACCAGUCUUUGCUGGCCUUCUAUGAUCGUGUUGGAUAAGAGAGCUAAAGAAUGUCGGUGGAACUACCGUCGCUUCUUCGGAACGGCGGCCAGCUCUCUCGAAGCUUCAGUUCAACGGAAUUAGCAGGGGCGAACGGAGCUGUACGUAUUGGCACGCGAGAGGUGAAAUUCUUAGACCGUGCCAAGACGAACCUAAGCGAAGGCAUUCAGCUAGUGGACCUUCAUUAAUCAAGAACGAGAGUGCAGGGAUCGAAGAUGAUCAGAUACCGUCGUAGUCUGCUACUGUAAACGAUGCAAACUCGGGAUCAGCCACCGCAUAUCUUUCAUGAUCACAAGGCUGGAACCUCGACUUCCUCCUGUUAGCGAAAGCAUUAAGUCUACGUGUUCAGGGGGGAGUACAGUUGCAAGGCUGAAACUUAAAGGAAUUGACGGAAUGACACCACAAGGCGUGGAUGCUGCGGCUUAAUUUGACUCAACGCGAGGAAAUUUACCAGGUCAGGACGCGAGUUGGAUUGACAGAUUGAAAGCUCUUUCUUGAUUUCGUGUGUGGUGGUGCAUGGCCGCUCCUGGUUCGUGGAGUGAUUUGUCUGGUUGAUUCCGGUAACGAACGAGAUCUUGACCGUUCAAUGACAGCUGGAUCGUUAUCAUGUAGUUUGACUCUCAUGCGCUUGCGUAACGAAUAGGUUGGAUGAGAUCUAUCCUUGUACUCAACGGGACUACGUGUGUUGACAACACGUGGAAGUCCAAGCCAAUAGCAGGUCUGUGAUGCUCCUAGAUGUCCUGGGCUGCACGCGGCAUACAAUGAUGGAAGAAACGAGUUUGGUUUGUUUGAGCUCCUGGCACGAAAGUGCUGGGGAAUCUGAGCAAUCUUCGUCGUAUCGUGGGGAUCGUUGAUUGCAACUAUUUGCCUUGAACCAGGAAUGCCUUGUAGACUCAGUUCAUCAAGCUGAAUCGAAUACGUCCCUGCCGUUUGUACACACCGCCCGUCGUUGCAAUCGAUCGGUUCAAUGCUAGAGGCCUUCUGGAGAUGACUGCAUCCGCACGCCGUCGAAGCUGAUCAAUAGUAUUGAACUAGAGAAUGCAAAAGUCGUAACAAGGUAGCUGUAGGUGAACCUGCAGAAGGAUCA
rnacentral:rRNA from 1 species